AGUACCAUACAUCAAAGCAGAUGGAGGAGUGAUGCUAUGGUUUAGGUACCAUACACUAGAGCAUAUUGAGAAGAGAUGUCAUGGGAUGAGUACCAUGGUUCGUAGUGAAUGAUGCUUGUGGUUCUCCGGUUAUCCGGUCACGAUUGAUGAGGUAGAGAUUGGACGCUAUGGGUUUUAGGCCCGUGGGCCAUGAUUGAGUUCGAAGAGGCGUCCCUUGAGAGGGAGGUCGAGAGCAUAUCAGAGUAUUUUGGUAAGGAGUUAGAGGGAGGGGAGAAUUUCGGUAUGAGUUGAGCAAUCAGUCGAUAGAGGAGAUGUCACCUUCUAUGACCUGAGUGGUGCUAUUUAUGUUCGUGUGCGGAACAUGAGAGGCCUGAUGUUUAUGUUUCGGGUUUGGGGGUAAAACCCUGCAGGUUGUCAUUGAUGAUGAUUUUCCAUCAGGGUAUCAGGUAGCAUGUGUGCUGCGAGACAGUGAUUUACCAUGAGCAGAUAGUCAGUUGGGACUGAGAUAGUCGAGGACCAUGUUACACCUAUUUGAGUAUAGUAUGGCGUAUUGUAGAGGUGUCAAUGGGGAGUCCAGUCGAGUUAAUCAGUGCAAUGGUUUUUCUAUCUAUGUUGGAUAUUGAAUAUGGGAGUNAGAACAUGAGAGGCCUGAUGUUUAUGUUUCGGGUUUGGGGGUAAAACCCUGCAGGUUGUCAUUGAUGAUGAUUUUCCAUCAGGGUAUCAGGUAGCAUGUGUGCUGCGAGACAGUGAUUUACCAUGAGCAGAUAGUCAGUUGGGACUGAGAUAGUCGAGGACCACGUUACACCUAUUUGAGUAUAGUAGGGCGUAUUGUAGAGGUAUCAGUGGGGAGUCCAGUCGAGUUAAUCAGUGCAGUGGUUUUUCUAUCUAUGUUGGAUAUUGAAUAUGGGAGUGGGUCCCUGUUCUU
rnacentral:lncRNA from 1 species